ensembl:lncRNA
ACAGACUCUACUCUUCUGCACAAACUCACACACACCAAAAACACUUUACAUUUGAAAAAAAAUACAACAUUAAACACUAACAGAUCUCCCCCUGUAUUAAUACUGAGCAAAAACACAUGUAAUAACACUUAAUUUUAACAUGUUUACUCUCCUUUAACCAAGCGUGUACGUCUGCAGACUGCAAGACAGGGGCGUAACUUGAAAGAGGCGUAACUUGAAGUAGGAGGCGUAACUUGAAGUUGUCGAAAUCUCACAGAAUCACGCGAGAUGUCAAAACGAUAAGUUGUUGAUUACGUUUUUUAAGGGAAGCAGAGGUUUUAGGCAGGAUUUGAUGCAUAAGGUGUGUGUAGAUAUUAAUGUUAGGGGAGAAUGUGAGUGAUGUGUACAUUUAGUAGGAAAACCUAUUAUCUGAUCCACACUCCGGGACAGAAGAGGGCGGUAUUGCACCAAUAAGCUGGAUGCCAACCGCCGUUAAACUGGAAAGAAGUUACAAUGAGUUACAAUGGUAGUGGUGCUCAUGGAGAGCAGCACACGAUUGUUUGGAGCAGACACAGCAGCAGUCAGAUUGUCCCGCAUGUGUUC